rnacentral:rRNA from 1 species
AGAGUUUGAUCAUGGCUCAGGACGAACGCUGGCGGCGUGCUUAACACAUGCAAGUCGAGCGGUAAGGCCCCUUCGGGGGUACACGAGCGGCGAACGGGUGAGUAACACGUGAGCAACCUACCCUCAACUUCGGGAUAAGCCUCGGAAACGGGGUCUAAUACCGGAUAUCAUCUCGCGCUUCAUGGUGUGGGGUUGAAAGUUCUGGCGGUUGGGGAUGGGCUCGCGGCCUAUCAGCUUGUUGGUGGGGUAAUGGCCUACCAAGGCGUCGACGGGUAGCCGGCCUGAGAGGGCGACCGGCCACACUGGGACUGAGACACGGCCCAGACUCCUACGGGAGGCAGCAGUGGGGAAUAUUGCGCAAUGGACGAAAGUCUGACGCAGCAACGCCGCGUGAGGGAUGACGGCCUUCGGGUUGUAAACCUCUUUCAGCAGGGACGAAGCGAAAGUGACGGUACCUGCAGAAGAAGGACCGGCCAACUACGUGCCAGCAGCCGCGGUAAUUC